GUAAAGAGACACGUGUACCAUCGUCAGCUUCAGACAGCGAUCCAGGAAGACUGCGACUUCCUGGGGAAGACCGUGUGGAACCACGUCAUGGACCAGUGCUCACGCAUGCCCCAAGACGCCGUGGAACAUCAGCUGAUGGCAACUACAGUCCAUCUUCUUCUUGACGCCACGUGCGCAGCCCUCUCGCGCGCCAUUAACCACGUGCUGAUCAAAAUGGAGCCACAGCUCAGAAACGACAGACUGGAGAGUCCGUAUAUCCUGGCUCACGUGAUCGUGCUCCCCCCUAGCAGACGAUUGACAUACAUGGGAUUACCCGUGGUGUACGAGGUCUCCGACUUCAAGGCGGCCUCCUCCUACUCGGUUCAGCACAGGCUCUAGAUACUAAAAACUGGAAAGAGGACCUGCAUUUCUGUUUUUGACUUUUUGUAUUAUUUAUCCAAUUUAUUUUUUAUGAGAAUACAUAUAUCUGUUUCUGUU
rnacentral:misc_RNA from 1 species